GACGAACGCUGGCGGCGUGCUUAACACAUGCAAGUCGAACGGAAAGGCCCUGCUUUUGUGGGGUGCUCGAGUGGCGAACGGGUGAGUAACACGUGAGUAACCUGCCCUUGACUUUGGGAUAACUUCAGGAAACUGGGGCUAAUACCGGAUAGGAGCUCCUGCUGCAUGGUGGGGGUUGGAAAGUUUCGGCGGUUGGGGAUGGACUCGCGGCUUAUCAGCUUGUUGGUGGGGUAGUGGCUUACCAAGGCUUUGACGGGUAGCCGGCCUGGGAGGGUGACCGGCAACAUGGGGACUGAGAUACGGCCCAGCUUCCUACGGGAGGCAGAAGUGGGGAAUAUGGCACAAUGGGCGGAGGCCUGAUGCAGCAACGCCGCGUGCGGAUGACGGCCUUCGGGUUGUAAACCGCUUUCGCCUGUGACGAAGCGUGAGUGACGGUAAUGGGUAAAGAAGCACCGGCUAACUACGUG
rnacentral:rRNA from 1 species